rnacentral:rRNA from 1 species
UACGGAGGGGGCAAGCGUUGUUCGGAAUUACUGGGCGUAAAGGGCGCGUAGGCGGCCUGUUAAGUCGAUCGUGAAAUCCCUGGGCUCAACCCAGGAACUGCGUCCGAUACUGGCAGGCUUGAAUCCGGGAGAGGGAUGCGGAAUUCCAGGUGUAGCGGUGAAAUGCGUAGAUAUCUGGAGGAACACCGGUGGCGAAGGCGGCAUCCUGGACCGGCAUUGACGCUGAGGCGCGAAAGCGUGGGGAGCGAACAGG